rnacentral:tRNA from 1 species
GGGGGUAUAGCUCAGUGGUAGAGCAUAUGCUUAGCAUGUGCAAGGUCCUGGGUUCAAUUCCCAGUACUUCCA